GACCGCCCAAGAAUGUCUGCCAGAGCGUUACGGUAUGGCGUAGCAGAUGGGAAACUUGUUCGUGCAGUCGAGUAAUUUGACCAGUUCCGUUCGUUUUACUUUGGUAUUGCGCAGGCGCACGAGAAGUUCUCCAGCGGCGGCGAGUACAAAUUUUACAAACGUCACGGGGACACAUUGGAUUUGUUUAAAAGGACAGGAGCAUAACGGGACUUCAGACAGAGUAACGGCUAAGGAGCCUCACAAGGUCUGUGCGCGAGUGAAACUGCUGAGCGUCCGUGUGCUUUUGGGUGAGGAAACCUCAGUGGACCCAUAGGACACUGGCACCAUCUGUGUGGAGAGGAAGACAAAAAGCAACAUCCUCUCUAGGCACCAGGGUGGCAAACAAGGUCCCUCCAGCUGCCCAAAUAUGUCUAAGGCCUGGCAGGUGAGGAAGGUCAUCCUGAUUGAGCCGACUGUCCUGUGCAAGGAGGGAUGUGACAAGGCCACAAAGUAGUAGGACACAGUCCAGGAGUGCGGGCAGUUUCCUGUCCAGGUGGGCUGACAGGGGUGAGGUUCCCACGUCCAGGACUCGCUGCCCUAGGAAUAUCAGGGAAUGAAAAAAAGAUGGCUGCCCGCAGGAAUGGAGAAGCAGCAGAAGGAGCCUCCUGCUGGUUAUGGCACAAAACAGAGCAGUCAGGCUGGGGGUCAGGAACUAACGGGCACCAAUUUGCCUGCACUGCCAACCCACCAACUAGAGGGUGUUGCGGUUAGUGGUCAAAUCUCCUGGGGAAGGCUGGGCACCGUCUGACAACAUCAGCUGUGGACAAAAUGGCCACCGUGGCAGAAAUCGUGACUGCAGUUUUCUGUGGUGGUGAUCUGCACCGAUCAAAGCACCCUGCUGUCCCUUCAUUCAUGGCCACCAUCAUCAUCAAAUUCUUACACGUGGAGACUGACAACCAUGAGGACUGAUUGAGGUCAUUGAUGUUAGGU